UGGGGAAUAUUGGACAAUGGGCGAAAGCCUGAUCCAGCAAUGCCGCGUGAGUGAUGAAGGCCUUAGGGUUGUAAAGCUCUUUUACCAGGGAUGAUAAUGACAGUACCUGGAGAAUACGCUCCGGCUAACUCCGUGCCAGCAGCCGCGGUAAUACGGAGGGAGCUAGCGUUGUUCGGAAUUACUGGGCGUAAAGCGCACGUAGGCGGCGAUUCAAGUCAGAGGUGAAAGCCCGGGGCUCAACCCCGGAACUGCCUUUGAAACUAGAUUGCUAGAAUCCUGGAGAGGUUAGUGGAAUUCCGAGUGUAGAGGUGAAAUUCGUAGAUAUCUGGAGGAACACCGGUGGCGAAGGCGGCAUCCUGGACCGGUAUUGACGCUGAGGCGCGAAAGCCAGGGGAGCAAA
rnacentral:rRNA from 1 species